GGGGUCCGUCUGUUGUAUGGCACAUCUGAUCUGUUCACAUGCUCGAAAUGGCUCCUAAUUACAUUAACAGUAUUUUGUUAAAUUUAUAUUAAAUACAUAAAAAUAAAAUAGUGUUAAUGUAAUUAGGAGUUGUGUUUACAUAUACAUGUAAACAGGUAAGAUGUGACAUACAAUAGAUGGGCCC